GACGAACGCUGGCGGCGUGCUUAACACAUGCAAGUCGUACGGUAAGGCCCUUUCGGGGGUACACGAGUGGCGCACGGGUGCGUAACACGUGAGUAACCUGCCCACAACUUUGGGAUAACGCUAGGAAACUGGUGCUAAUACUGGAUAUGUGCUCCUGCUGCAUGGUGGGGGUUGGAAAGCUCCGGCGGUUGUGGAUGGACUCGCGGCCUAUCAGCUUGUUGGUGGGGUAGUGGCCUACCAAGGCGGCGACGGGUAGCCGGCCUGAGAGGGUGACCGGCCACAUUGGGACUGAGAUACGGCCCAGACUCCUACGGGAGGCAGCAGUGGGGAAUAUUGCACAAUGGGCGCAAGCCUGAUGCAGCAACGCCGCGUGCGGGAUGACGGCCUUCGGGUUGGAAACCGCUUUCAGCAGGGACGAAGCUUUUUGUGACGGUACCUGCAGAAGAAGCACCGGCUAACUACGUG
rnacentral:rRNA from 1 species